CUUUAUGUGGGCAUACCUAUUUGAUUUGUCCACUGACCAGUCCUUAGCAAUCCUUUUUUUUCUCUGCUGCUGACAAACCCAUGUUCAAGAGCUGUAGGGUGAUUCCUGACCUGAAGGGAAGCAGAGCUGGAGUAGUGUCCUUGUCUAUACUGUCACUCAGGAAUGAGCAGCUUGGCUGGGAGAGGGAAGCACUGGCCUUGUCCCCUCAUCCCAAGAGGCACUGGAGGAGAGCCCUGCCUGGAUGGAGCUGGCAGGCCCAGGUGGGGAAGGCCCAGGCCAGCAGGUGUGCACUCCUGUCUGUGAGGUGUAUGGUGCCUUUUCAGUGCACAAUUCUGGGUCCUGUAGAAGUGAAUCGUCUGAAUAAUAUAUGUAAUUUGAAAAAUGCUUACCUUGCACCCACCUUAAGUAAGAAAAAAUAUUACCCUGCACCCACCUUCCUCCUUGAGUUAAAGUACCUGCGGAGAAUAAUUCCAUCUACGUGUACCCUAAAGCUAGAGGCUGAUUCAGAGAAACCUACUUAGCUUUUGUCUGCUGUAGUACACAGGCUUCUGGGAGAUAAAAUGCAUCCAGAUGAGUUCCAACCAGACAACAUCGAGAAGGUGGCCACAGCACUUGCUUAAAACUGCUGCUCCAAUAUGUGAGCUGGGAUUAGGAAUGCUCUAGGCUUGUGCUUUCCUAGUUUUCCUUUUGUGUGAUUAUGAGCUUAACCCUUUGGCGUUUUUGCUGUAAUAUGUACUGUAUUGGAAUCCUUUUAAAUGUCCCAUGUGAAUGUGGAUAGAAAUGGAAAGUUCUUCAGACUGCAGUUUUUCCCCAAAUUAAAGAACCAAAUUAAACAGGUGCUGCAGACCCAUCUACUGUGGCUUUACCAACAGGGUUGGUUUUUUUUCCCCUACAGCUUGUGCUCCAAUUGUGUGACCUAACUUUGCUCACUUCUGUCUUGUGGAGGGAGAUAUUUCUCAGCCCUCACUCCAGUAAGAGGCCAUGGUUUCGGCCCUGAUUCUUCAGAUGGGAGUGUGCCUGCCCUUUCCACAUCUGUGAUACAAAACCUGCUGGUUUCUAUACUAAAAUGAAGUACAGGCCUAUGUGUUUGUAUACUUGCAGCUCGAGAGAACUGAAGGAAAAUGUCCCAGAGAGUGUGUGCUUUUUCCUUUGUAACCCUCUGAUGUGCUUUAAAUUUGUUCUUGAAAUGCAUCCACUUUACUGUGUCUGAGUGAGAGUCCUUUUUCUAGGAAAAAAGGAAACAGAACAAAAAUAAUUUAAGUUGUGAUAGCUGCUUUUGACACGGGAUGGGAUCAAUUUCUAGUGUGGCAAG
rnacentral:lncRNA from 1 species